CUGCGCGGAAGCGGCGCGGCGCGGCCCAGGCCCGGCACUUACCCUUGGUGAGCGUGUCCAGCACCCCCGACUUCUCCAGGUACCGGCGGAACUGCUCCCGCUUGGAGUCCGCGGCCUUGGGAAGGAUGCGCACAGGAUGGUGAAGAGGGAGCUACUGGAACAGAAUGUAUACUCCCUAUCCUAAAUUGCCCUUCACCGAGUUUAAAAAGGAAAAGAUUCAUGUGGAAGAGGAAGAAGUGGAACAGUCGUGGCAGAAGUUUUGGAGAUCGGAGGGAAGUGAGGCAGAUGGAAAAUCCUUGAUGCAGUAGCCACAGCAGCUGAUCCACCACUGAGCAGGGACAUGGUCAACAGAAUGCAUGGGCGUAUACGCAGAUGGCCGAAAGGACAGAAGAAUCGAGACAGAUUUAUGAGAGAUUAAGCCCAGUGAAUUUCUAUCCCAAUGCUACGAAGGCUUUGAACUGCUGGAAACCAGCAUAGAGCACAGAGACAGAACAGGGCUUUACUUGGCUUCUAAAACACUAGGUGACAUCCUAAUGUCUAAAGGAGUCCUUAGAAAAGCCAAGCGUUUGCAUCCAAGAAAGUUUAUUUCAACCCGACUCCGUGAUGAUAGUUUAGCUUAUGCUGAUUGUUUCUUAGAUCUAGCAGAAGAAGAAAAAAAAUCAUGUUACUUGAGAAGCAAAAUUCUUACGGUAAAUUUCCUAUGCUAAAAAGAUGAUACAAGUGAACUACAUUAAAAAAAAAAAAAGAAAAAAGCAACCCUGAAGUCGAACACAAAGGAAGAAAUUGUAAGCAGAGCGUGGCCAACAACUGACAGUCAAUUCAAAACAUAUACAGCAUACAGUCUGAUAAAGCCCUAAGAUGUCUACCAGACCACUCGCUGCUGUGACAAAACCUAUUUUAUUUUCUGUGCAGUCUGUAAGCAUCUUACUUCAGAAAUGCAAAUAAUGGUUUUUUUUGUCUCUGCACUAACUUGAGAUUCUUAUUGCAACAAGCUCUCCACAGAACCUACACAUAACUGCUGUCAUAAUGUCACUUUGAGAUGGGCGGCUUGACAGAAGAAAUACUUUUAAAGUGUGAAGAGAGGACUUGAAGUUAGUGGAGCAUAAGACACACACUUAGCUUCUAAAGUCCUAAUUACUUUCUCCACAAACCUCCUGACAGCAGCAGGACUGCAAAACAAGGCAAUUUGUAAUCAAAAACAACAAGAAUCUCACAGCACUGAAAGGGACAUUGGAAAUUGCUAUCGGCUCUUCAAGACCAAGGCUAAAGUCACUUUCGAUGCUUGCCUUUCCCUCGGCAUACGUAUUUUCAGUCUGUAACUUCAGUCAGCAGAGGGCCAUCCAGGACGUGGCCUGCAGUUUUAGUACUGGUAUCCAUUAAAAAAGAAGAGAAAAUAAUCUCUCUGCAUAGACAAUAUUGCUUUAAACAAUGGCACUGGGAGCUAAUUUGAUGCCUGCGAGUCCAGACCCCAGUUUGGUUGGAGAGCUUGUCAUAAGCACAACAGGCAAGUCAGCAGUUGAAUCCCCCCUGCCAAGGUUGUGUCUUUAGAUUAAUCCUCCUGACUCUGCAAUAAAAAACAUUUCAAGUGGGAGGCAAGUAAUAUGUUAUACCCUGACACCUGUCCAGUACCCCAAGGAAUGAGCACAACUAGCCUGCAAAGCCCCUGGAUCUCAAAUCCACCCCCAAACCUGGACAGAAACCGCCCCCACUACCCCCUAAGCACCCCCAAAGCCUGCCCCAAGGCCACCAGUGCCUCCAAUACCCCCCCAAGCCCAACCCCAAAUUCUGCCCCGACACCCUUAAACCACCACCGAGUGCCCCGAUACCACCAUCAGUCCCAAGCCACCCCAGGCUCCUGCCCCCGGACCCUCGUGACCCCGGCGGGCAGGAUCCAGGCCCCGGUGCCCGGGUGGGUGGCGGGGGGCCCGCUCGCCUGCCCCGGGAACAGCCGGGCGGGUGCCGGGCAGUGCGGGGACAGAGGCACAGGCCCCUGCCCUGCGCCCCCUCGCAUUUACACUGCCUGUCCCAGUACGACCAACACAAGCUAGUAUUUGACAGUGCUUCAGUCUCAGUGAAGAUGUGCCUUGAUUACGGACUGUAAUCAGCGCUGCGGCGGGUCGCUGUGCGCAUGCGCCUUGCGACGGGCUGAGCGCACCGCCGCUUUCCCUUGCGUGCAUUGCAGAGCGGCGGGUGGCGCAAGCGCAUUGUGGCGGGGCGCUCGCUGCUGCCCUCCCUUCAUUACACGCCGUACUGCAGCCAGGCGGCUCACGCAUGCGCCCCGCUGCGCGCCCCGCUUUCUGCUGCCCUGGCGGAUGACGCGACAGCAGUGCGCGGCGCAGGCUCUGGCGUGCUUAUUGCAGCUCUCCGUCCGCGUUGCCGUCGCCGGUGUUUCCGUAAUAGGUGAGCAGCAAGCUAGUCCCGCGAAGACACGUUAUUCCCAGUUAACACAGAUGUCCCUCCAAUGCGACGUAUUAUGUGACUAGUCAUCCACAGUAUGUAAUAGCAGCCUGGUUUUAUUAAUAAUUACACAUUAAUUUAUAAAAGGUGUUCUCAUCAAUAUCGGUUGUGCUGUGUGUCACCCCCCGGCUCAGUCUCACUUUAGAGAAAAAAGGGUCUUGUGAUUAAUAUCUAAGCGACGGGAUGAAACAAGGAAGCAAAAAUGCAGUUCAGCAGACCCUUGAUAUCACCAGAAACUGCUGCAGUAGGAGGUGUUUUGGCAUGGGUAACUAAGGUAACUAUUGAUAAUGAAUAUUUGUUAUUUCUGUCUCCCAGAGGCAGCACUGAGGACUAAGUAACUCAUUCCUACCCUGUGGAUAUUUUUACCUGUAUCUGCCUUAGUUUGGUUGUUUCUGCUUUGUGUUGUUAUCUUAUAUGCAUAUAUAAAAAGCAAAAGAUAUAAUACUUAGUUUUUUAGAUUAAUUGCCAUGGCUGAAGUUGAAGAGACCAGAAAAAUGUAAGCAAGCUCAAGUAAAAAAAUCAAAUGGAACCAAGCAAAAGCUGUCUCCCUCUGCCAGAAAGGAAAAGCCCAUUCCUCCUGGUGUUCAGAACACUGGGGAACGACUAUAUGCUGCCAUGAAGAACUACACGCUACCACUGCUCUCAGACCUUUGUAACUUACUGUGUGUCAAGAACGGCCAGGAGAACCCAAACGCCAGUGGAAAGGUUCUCUGCCUGGUCCCGACGAGAAGCCUUCAGCCGUGGGAAGGCUGUCCACGUCCUUACUAGACUUAACGCUCUCUGCCAGGGGGCAUGUGGUGGUGGACACCUGUAUUCCUCUGGACUCUUCUUGACACGGUUAUUGUGAGCAAUGAAUGCGUGAUUUCAGUAACUUGUGAAAUGCAGCCUUGCCCUCACAGCCCAAGGGACAGAAUUAAGGGCUUGUUUGUCAGCUAAGAAAUAAAGAAGACAGAACAGCCUAACCACAUAGGAGAGCUGAUAUACGGCUUACCUCCGACAAACUGUAUCACUGUGGUGUAUUGCGUUUCAGAGGCAGUGAUAUACUCAACAAGAACAUGAGAACUCCUGCUCUGCAGUGGGCUCUGUAAUCGAUGACCACAGGAUCCAUGCUCUGGGCCGGUCACGUUAGGCCUUUGUGCAGAGUAUUCUUUCUAGUCACACGCCCCGUGUGAUCCUCUCCUUCCGCUGUUUUCCCAAGGGAUUGGAAAUGCUUCUGGUAAGUCCUGUAGCUUCCUGAAUUUUCCACUGUGUCCUUGCUGGUACUGGAUACCAUUAUAGCAGGGAGAGGCAGCCUACAUAUGCUCAAGGAACACUGAGGCACAAAGAAGUUGCCUCUUUGGCCCACCUAAUCUACUUCAGAGAGUUUUAUUUCUGACCUAGAGCUUGGGACUUGGAGUGCUGUGCACAGCAGGCAUUGGUUUCCCUGUUCUUUGAACAGGGUUAUCGAUGCCCUUCAGUUGUUUCUUCAGAGGGGGGAGUUGCUGCAGGAAUUGCUGGGGAGGCCCUGACCGCAGGAUGUGGAAAAGAUACCUUUGACUGCAUCCAGCCGAAGAAAUGUAAGCCGAAGGAUCAGAGUAAAUAACUGCUUGUCUAGGUCUGUUACCUAGCAACACAUUGUCAAGGUUUUUUUAUGAGCAAUCAUACUCUAUCAAGUGCCUAUUCAUUCUGUGAAUAUUACUGCAAGAGUGCGUACGUUACGUUAGAGCAGAUUAAAACAUUUAUCAUCCUAUUUUGUUUAUUGAACGGACCGCGAUACUUGGAAAUACCUGCAGCAAAGGAGACACAGUAGUCAGCUUCCUUGGAGAAGGUGUCUUGUCCUGUACGCUAGGGCUUCCUGUACAUUUUGACAGACAGUAGUGAAUGACCGAUCUCCUUUGAACCCCUGGGCAGCAGAAGGUUCUGACUGGAAAGCAAAAUGUUUCUUGCAGCCGGGUUUGAAGAAGCUGGCUACCAAUCAAAAGAAAUGACCAGCUACCAAUCAAAAGUAAUGACCAAUCUGUGGAGUCACUGAAAGUUUUUAAAAGACAAUUAUCAUCUUUUAAGGAAGGCAAUGCACUUUAAUUACUAAUCCCUGUAGCAAUCGAGCCAAGUAAGUGGUAUGUAGGAGGUCAAGCCCAUUAGUCUUUUUCACACAGUAAUAGCGUUUAGGCUAUGAUCCCUCUUAUACAAGUCCAGAUAUUUUAGAAACUGAAAAAGCCUUUUUAGCUUGUUUCCAGUAGUACCGCAAAAGGUGAUCAGAAUGCUAAUGUUUUUGUGCUUUAACAUGGUAGACAUAUGCUGGGCAAACAUCUCUCACUGUUUAAUAAUAAAAAGUGUGCGGUCUGUCAAGAUAAUAGCGUAGCUUUCCUUUGUCUCUUUGUUUUGUUUAUCAGACAAUAAAGGCAAGAGUUUGAAAAUCCUAAA